rnacentral:rRNA from 1 species
GUGAAUCAUCGAAUCUUUGAACGCACAUUGCGCCCAUUAGUAUUCUAGUGGGCAUGCCUGUUCGAGCGUCAUUUCAACCCUUAAGCCCUGCUUAGUGUUGGGAGUCUACUCCAGCGGACCUACCCUGUGGCUACCCUGUGGCGCGGGAGAGGUUACCCUGUAGCUCCUCAAAAUCAGUGGCGGAGACGUGGUGUUCUCUGAGCGUAGUAACUAUCAUCUCGCUUUUGUAGACACUGCGGCCCCUGCCGUUAAACGUAUAAUUUACUGGUUGACCUCGGAUCAGGUAGGAAUACCCGCUGAACUUAA